AUACGUAGGGGGCGAGCGUUGUCCGGAAUGAUUGGGCGUAAAGGGCGCGUAGGCGGCCCGGUAAGUCUGGAGUGAAAGUCCUGUUUUUAAGAUGGGAAUUGCUUUGGAUACUGUCGGGCUUGAGUGCAGGAGAGGUAAGUGGAAUUCCCAGUGUAGCGGUGAAAUGCGUAGAGAUUGGGAGGAACACCAGUGGCGAAGGCGACUUACUGGACUGUAACUGACGCUGAGGCGCGAAAGUGUGGGGAGCAAACAGGAUUAGAUACCCUGGUAGUCCACGCCGUAAACGAUGGGCGCUCGUCGUCGGCGGCAGACAGUCGGCGGCCAAGCGAAAGCGAUAAGCGCCCCACCUGGGGAGUACGGUCGCAAGGCUGAAACUCAAAUGAAUUGGCGGGG
rnacentral:rRNA from 1 species